GGGGCCGUGGGGUAGCUUGGUCCAUCCUUCUACCGUGGGGCGGUAGGCACCCGAAUUCGAAUUUCGGCGGCCCCA
rnacentral:tRNA from 1 species